GACGAACGCUGGCGGCGUGCUUAACACAUGCAAGUCGAACGGAAAGGCCCUGCUUUUGUGGGGUGCUCGAGUGGCGAACGGGUGAGUAACACGUGAGUAACCUGCCCUUGACUUUGGGAUAACUUCAGGAAACGGGGGCUACUACCGGAUAGGAGCUCCUGCUGCAUGGUGGGGGUUGGAAAGUUUCGGCGGUUGGGGAUGGACUCGCGGCUUAUCAGCUUGCUGGUGGGGUAGUGGUUUGCCAAGGGUUGGACGGGUAGCCGGCCUGAGAGGGUGGCCGGGCACAUGAGGACUAAGGGACGGAGCAGACUGCAACGGGAGGCAGCGGUGGGAAGCCUUACACAAUGAGCGGGAGCCUGAGGCGAAGGCGCUCCGUGCGGAAUGACGGCUUUUGGGGUGUAAAACGCUGUCGCCUGUGACGACGCGGGAGUGACGGUAAUGAGUAAAGAAGCACCGGCUAACUACGUG
rnacentral:rRNA from 1 species